rnacentral:rRNA from 1 species
AUGCCUCAAGCUGAAAAUAACAUAACUGGUGAAUAUCCAUCAAUUAUCUUUACUACACGAAUAGAGGUACGAAUGUGUAAAAACAAAAAAAUAACAAAUAUCCCAUAUGUAAGCUGCAUAACAACUGAACAUGCGCUACAAUUUUACGAAAUUGGCCAACUAUAUUUGAUAUUUUUUAAAGGACUGCAGAUUUUCAGAAAUUUUCAUGACAUGCAAAUGAAUGUGCAAAAGGGUAAUAAUACCAAUCAAUUGAGCAGCCAAACUAUAAAGGGCAGUCCAAGCACCCUUCCACUUCAUUAA